GUAAGAAAGGAAAAAAGCAAGAAAAGAUCUGCUAAAGAACAAGAAGGAUGGGCUCACACUGCAGUUACCAGGCUGAAGAGACAGGGUGGAAGAGAUCGUGGAAAAGGGUUCCAGUGAGUCUGGGGUAUCCAAUGGUGGCGCUCAAUGUCCAGACGGCCCAUUGCUGUGCUUGCCCAGGAAGUGGCUGGCACUGAGUUUGGUUGCUGUUGUAGAUGAGGAAACUCAGCCACAGGAAAGUCAGGCCCCACAUCUUGCGCCUGUUGGCGCUGGGAGGUAAACCCAGGCAGUCUCGCUCUUUCCUUCUCAUGACUGCAAAAAGAAAUGGAAGGGCUCAGGACCAUCCAGGAGUUGGCAGGAAAAGUCCUGUUUUGUGAGGAACUGGCUGCAGACACCCAGAAG